GCCCUCUUAGUUUAACGGUUAGAACAGAGGUCUCAUAUUCACUUAUGACUUCAGCAAAGCUGUAGAUAUCCUCAGAUAUGAGUUCGAUUCUCAUAGAAGGCA
rnacentral:tRNA from 1 species